rnacentral:tRNA from 1 species
AGCCCCUUGGUGUAGUGGUCAAUCAUUAUGCCCUUUGGAGGCAUAGACGGCGGUUCAAAUCCGCCAGGGGCUA